UACGGCCACAUAAUGUUGAAACAUUGGUUCCCGUACGAUCACCGCAGUUAAGCAACGUUGAGCCUGGUCAUUAUCUAGAUAGGUGAUUUCUUGGGAAUACCAGGUUCUGUA